rnacentral:tRNA from 1 species
UCCCUGGUGGUCCAGUGGCUACGACUUUGCAUUCCCAAAGCAGGGGGUCUGGGGUUUCAAUCCCCGGUCAGGGAA